UACAGAGGGUGCGAGCGUUAAUCGGAUUUAUUGGGCGUAAAGGGUGCGUAGGUGGUAAAGCAAGUAGAAUGUGAAAACCCUGGGCUUAACCUGGGAAGUGCAUCCUAAACUGCUUAACUAGAGUAUGGUAGAGGGUAGUGGAAUUUCCGGUGUAGCGGUGAAAUGCGUAGAGAUCGGAAGGAACGCCAGUGGUGAAGACGACUACCUGGACCAAUACUGACACUGAGGCACGAAAGCGUGGGGAUCAAACAGG
rnacentral:rRNA from 1 species